AGGACGAACGCUGGCGGCGUGCCUAGUACAUGCAAGUCGAACGGCUUUUCUAUGGAAGCUUGCUUCCACUGAGAAGAUAGUGGCGAACGGGUGAGUAACACGUGGGUAACCUGCCCAUAAGAGGGGGGAUAACAUCCGGAAACGGGUGCUAAUACCGCAUAGUUUUCUUGAUCGCAUGAUCGGGAAAGGAAAGACGGCCUUUGUGCUGUCGCUUAUGGAUGGACCCGCGGCGUAUUAGUUAGUUGGUGAGGUAACGGCUCACCAAGACGAUGAUACGUAGCCGACCUGAGAGGGUGAUCGGCCACAUUGGGACUGAGACACGGCCCAAACUCCUACGGGAGGCAGCAGUAGGGAAUCUUCCGCAAUGGACGAAAGUCUGACGGAGCAACGCCGCGUGAGUGAAGAAAAGGUUUUCGGAUCGUAAAACUCUGUUGUCAGAGAAGAACAAGUUGGAGAGUAACUGCUCCAGCCUUGACGGUAUCUGACCAGAAAGCCACGGCUAACUACGUGCCAGCAGCGGC
rnacentral:rRNA from 1 species